rnacentral:rRNA from 1 species
AGCGGAGACUGCUGUUUUGAAACCUUUCGAGGUGGAAAUUCUUUGGUGGAAACCGCUUUAAUCGCAGUGGCUUGAACCGGGCAAAAGUCGUAACAAGGUUUCCGUAGGUGAACCUGCGGAAGGAUCAUUAUCGUGCUUCAAUCGAAGAAAAAAAAAAAAAAGAAAAACAAGUAUGUGCACGUACGUACAUCGGUACGUACGUAUGCUUCAUACAUAUACACAUACGUACCAACAACACACACAUAUACAUCCAACAAAACGAUAGCAAUACGAUGUGAAAUUUUCGGUGUCACAUCACGAGCAAUAUUUUGCUAGUUAUUGAUUGUGGUGAUAUGCGAAAUGUUUUGUUGUUUGUCGUCGUUUUUGUUGGUUGAUUUUAUGUGAUGAGAUAAGGAGAGAAUAAACGGUGAUACACGUUGGUGUCUAUACUUUAUCAAAGUUAUCGCCUGACCGUCGAUAACGAUGAAGAUAAAGCGAUAGCUUAAUUAAUAUUUUUGCGUAUUAAUUAAGUAGACUUAAUGAGCAUUUAAGCGUGUUAUGCUGCCAACAAAUCAAAUAACACAUACAUAUGUGCAUAUUUUCAUAUGCAUUUUUAUCGUAAAAUUUCCUUUCAUAUAAAAUUGUAAAGAAAAUUUUUUACUCUUAGCGGUGGAUCACUUGGCUCGUGGAUCGAUGAAGAACGCAGCUAGCUGCGAUAAAUAGUGCG